rnacentral:lncRNA from 1 species
UCCCUCAGCCCCAUCUCAUCUGCUCUCUUACUUAUAACAGCUCCCAACCAAUGAAUUGGAAAUAUACUUUCCAGAUCUACCUAAUAGAAAUGUUGUUGAGGAGACCCUGAGGAAAAAAGAAGGACAUGGCAAGAAAACUGAAAAGACAGGUGAGGACUGUGAACCAAAAGCAUGAGGAAAACCCCCUACCAAGUAUAGACAUGCCUUUCAACUCAGUGAGAUCUGAUAAAGGGUUACAUUGUAAUUCAUUAAAUAACAUUAGUAGUAACCCAACU